rnacentral:hammerhead_ribozyme from 1 species
AUCUAACUGACGAAUCCCGAACAGGACGAAAUACGCAUUCUAGAU